AUUGAACGCUGGCGGCAUGCCUAACACAUGCAAGUCGAACGGCAGCACAGUAAGAGCUUGCCCUUACGGGUGGCGAGUGGCGGACGGGUGAGGAAUACAUCGGAAUCUACUUUUUCGUGGGGUAUACCGUAGGGAAACUUACGCUAAUACCGCAUACCACCUACGGGUGAAAGCAGGGUCUCUUCGGACCUUGCGCGAUUGAAUGAGCCGAUGUCGGAUUAGCUAGUUGGCGGGGUAAAGGCCCACCAAGGCGACGAUCCGUAGCUGGUCUGAGAGGAUGAUCAGCCACACUGGAACUGAGACACGGUCCAGACUCCUACGGGAGGCAGCAGUGGGGAAUAUUGGACAAUGGGCGCAAGCCUGAUCCAGCCAUGCCGCGUGGGCGAAGAAGGCCUUCGGGUUGUAAAGCCCUUUUGUUAGGAAAGAAAAGCAGCAGGUUAAUACCACGCUGUUCUGACGGUACCCAAAGAAUAAGCACCGGCUAACUUCGUG
rnacentral:rRNA from 1 species